GUAGCCUCAACCUCCAAUUUGAGGAAUUACUUUAAUUUCUUAGUGGGUACUAGAAUCCACACAGACUACACACGAGCCCAACUUUGGUUGGUCAACCCAUGUGCAUCUAUGGGUAGGUUCAUAACCAGUUAUUUCUCUUAACAACUUCUAGUAAUUAAUUUUGCCCCAGAACCUAAUCAGUAGGCUUUGGCCUCCACUGAAAAGAUCUG
rnacentral:lncRNA from 1 species